CUCGCCUAUUAAAACAGAUCAAUAUAUAGUAGAAUCCGGUUAUAACGACUCUGUUUACAGCAUCAGUUCGGUUAUUGCGACGGAAACUCGAUGGCUUGGUUGGUCCCCAUACAAAGUUAUAUGAAAGGACCUCCGGUAAUGGAUGCAUUUUAUAAGCAACAAAAAAUAACUCACAAAAAUGAUCACUUAAGGUUAAUUGAACUGUAGUCCUACUUUCCAACGCAGCUGACACGAAGCUGGCCCAAACUCCGUAGAACAAGAAGACGCACAAGACACAGCAUGUUUAUAGAUAUUUUAUAUGUAUUCUUGUUUACACUUAAAUCCUAUGAAUAAUUUUGUCAUUUUUUCAUUUCAUUUUGAUGAAUUACAUUUGAUGAAAGAUUGAUACAAAUCACUAAAGAAUUGAUACAAAAUGGAUUAAAAUUUUGUUCUAAAAAAAACACGGUUAAAAUGAGCUUAAAAAGUGGUGUUUUAGCGGUGUUUUUUUGAGUUUUUUAUAGCAGUCCUAGGACAUGCCAAUGUUCAAAUCCUCGCUAGUUUUCAUACGAAUUAAGCGGUAAAUAAGCACUUGAAAUUAUUGAUCAGUUAUACACCUGUGAAAAGAUAGUGAUGGAACUGCAGGGUGUAUUUAUGAAUGGGUAUGGGUGUAUGUACAAGGUACAUUUUGUAUUUAUUUGUUGAAUUACUUAAAAAAAACCCAGAGACAUUGGUUUUUUGUACAACCAGUUAUCUAUUCUAUACGUUUUAUCUAAUAACAAAAAAAAAUAAAAAUUCUG